UUUCGCAAUGCCCGAAAGGGUGACGAAGCGACGCCGCGUGGGUGAGGAAGGCCUUCGGGUUGUAAAGCCCUGUCAGGAGUUAUGAAAUGUAAGUGCGCUAAUAUCGUGCUUAUUUGAUAAAGGCUCCAAAGGAAGCCACGGCUAACUCUGUGCCAGCAGCCGCGGUAAUACAGAGGUGGCGAGCGUUGUUCGGAAUUAUUGGGCGUAAAGAGCACGUAGGUGGGUUUGCAAGUCAGAUGUGAAAGCCUUCUGUUCAACGGAAGAAUUGCAUCUGAAACUGCUAAUCUUGAGUAUAGGAGGGGAGAAUGGAACUUCUGGUGGAGCGGUGAAAUGCGUAGAUAUCAGAAGGAACGCCGGCGGCGAAAGCGAUUCUCUGGCCUAUUACUGACACUCAGUGUGCGAAAGCUAGGGGAGCAAACGGGAUUAGAUACCACAGUAGUCCUAGCCGUAAACGAUGGGCACUAAGUAGAGGGGUUUUA
rnacentral:rRNA from 1 species